rnacentral:rRNA from 1 species
AUACAGAGGGUGCAGGCGUUAUUCGGAAUUACUGGGCGUAAAGCGCGCGUAGGCGGAUGAUUAAGUCAGUUGUGAAAGCCCUGGGCUCAACCUAGGAACUGCAUCUGAUACUGGUCGUCUAGAGUUUAAGAGAGGGAAGUGGAAUUCCAGGUGUAGCAGUGAAAUGCGUAGAUAUCUGGAGGAACAUCAGUGGCGAAGGCGACUUCCUGGCUUAAAACUGACGCUGAGGUGCGAAAGCGUGGGUAGCGAACGGGAUUAGAUACCCUAGUAGUCC